rnacentral:tmRNA from 1 species
UGCCCUGCCUGGGGUUGAAGCGUUAAAUCUAAUCAGGCUAGUUUGUUAGUGGCGUGUCUGUCCGCAGCUGGCAAGCGAAUGUAAAGACUGACUAAGCAUGUAGUGCCGAGGAUGUAGGAAUUUCGGACGCGGGUUCAACUCCCGCCAGCUCCACCA